rnacentral:rRNA from 1 species
GUGGGGAAUCUUGCGCAAUGGGCGAAAGCCUGACGCAGCCAUGCCGCGUGAAUGAUGAAGGUCUUAGGAUUGUAAAAUUCUUUCACCGGGGACGAUAAUGACGGUACCCGGAGAAGAAGCUCCGGCUAACUUCGUGCCAGCAGCCGCGGUAAUACGAAGGGGGCUAGCGUUGCUCGGAAUUACUGGGCGUAAAGGGCGCGUAGGCGGACAGCUUAGUCAGAGGUGAAAGCCCAGGGCUCAACCUUGGAAUUGCCUUUGAUACUGGCUGUCUUGAGUUUGGGAGAGGUGAGUGGAACUCCGAGUGUAGAGGUGAAAUUCGUAGAUAUUCGGAAGAACACCAGUGGUGAAGGCGACUCACUGGCCCAAUACUGACGCUGAGGCGCGAAAGCGUGGGGAGCAAACAGGAUUAGAUACCCCGGUAGUCC